AUCUACAGCCAUACCAUCCUGAACGCACCCAGUCUCGUCUGAUCUUGGAAGCUAAGCAGAGUCGGGCCUGCUUAGUACUUGGAUGGGAGAAAACCAAAGCACAGAGAGGUUAAGUAAUUC
ensembl:rRNA 5S_rRNA 5S ribosomal RNA